GUGGAAUAACAUUCAACCUUUCACCAUUCUUCACCACACCUUCCCUACCUCUAGCCCAUAGUCUUCCUCUACCUUUUUGAGCCAUUUCAAUACAAACAAUUAACUCCAAACAAGUAAAUCAACCCCAAAGAACCUAGACCCAACUAUGACAUUAGCUCUGCUUGUAUCAUAGAGGAUUUGGUAACUUAUCAGGCAUCAGCCUCGUGUUUAUAUUCCUCCCGCUUCUUUGUUGACUCCCCCAACCCACCAAAUACCCACA